rnacentral:ncRNA from 2 species
AGCUCAUCCAGAGGGGCAGAGGGAACGGCCCGUUGAAGCCCCGGCAACCAUCCCGCGAUCCGCGCGUACGCGGACUCAAAGGCGAGACCGCCUCGUGGGGACGGUGCCAAUUCCGGCCCGUGACGAGAUACGCCACGGGGAAGAUGAGGA